ensembl:snRNA U6 U6 spliceosomal RNA
UUGCUUUCGCAGUACACGUACUAAAAUUGGAACGACACAGAGAAGAUGAGCAUGGCCCCUCAGCGAGGAUGACACGCAAAUUCGUGAAACGUUCCAUAUUUUU